UACGUAGGGUGCAAGCGUUGUCCGGAAUUAUUGGGCGUAAAGAGCUCGUAGGCGGUUUGUCGCGUCGAAUGUGAAAACCCGGGGCUCAACCCCGGGCCUGCAUUCGAUACGGGCAGACUAGAGUUCGGUAGGGGAGUCUGGAAUUCCUGGUGUAGCGGUGAAAUGCGCAGAUAUCAGGAGGAACACCGGUGGCGAAGGCGGCGACCUGGUCCUUUACUGACGCUGAGGCGCGAAAGCGUGGGGAGCAAACAGG
rnacentral:rRNA from 1 species